rnacentral:tRNA from 1 species
GGACAGCUGGCCGAGUGGCUGAAGGCACCUGACUCGAAAUCAGGAGUACCCGCGAGGGUAUCUGGGGUUCGAAUCCCUAGCUGUCCGCCA